UCUCCCUUUACAGCAUACAUUUCCAGCUGGUUGCAAGGACUUCUGUGGCAAGUUUGUUUUAUUACUUCCGUGCUCUAUGUCUUUGUUGAACUAUCCAAAAUUUGGUUUUGGGCUGUUUAGAAUUUAUUGUUCACAAAUCUGUCUUGUGCAAGUUUCUCUCUGUUUAUGUUUUAGGUUGAAGAUGGCCCAGAGAGGUUAGCCUUACAGUUGCUGAUCUAGAAGCAUUAGGCAAGAGUGUCUGAGAACGAUGGUGUGAUCUGCAACACUGUCUUUUUUUAUUACUGAUUUAUUACUGACUAUCUAUUUCUUUAUUUGUUGUUAUUCAACAAGAGAGAACUCCCAUUAAUGGGAAUCAAAAGGAAACCCUGAAAUCAUUUUUUGAGGAUGGAAUGACACAAGUUUGUUCAGAAUUAAUACCAAGAGCUGCAUCAACUACUGGUUUGGACACCAGUGUCGUAGAAAUAAGGUUUACUUUUGUGCCACACUAACAAACAUCAUGUCAAAUAAAUAAAUCAUUCUGCUGCACUGCUUGUAUAAACGAAGUGUUUUUUAACAUUCGGUUUAAUUGGUGUAAUACCCUUUUGCUAUUUUUUUGUUUUUCAGAACUGGAUUGAUGAUCACAAAUGACUAAUGCUUCGUCUGAGCCCCGUCCAUCAAAAGCCAAAGUUCACAUUAGAGAGCUGUCGCAUUACAAUCUUUUUUGUAGGGACAUAUUCAAAAACAAAGGCACAAUGAAUGAUAUUAAGGGCAGGUGCGCCACAUUGGGGGAAGAUGCAAAGCAGAAAUACAUUCAAGAGGCAGCAGCACUGAGGGCACAUGGGCAGGCACAGGACCUAAACCCUGAGAUGGAGGCAAUUUGUGCUGUGUCUGCCGCGUCCAUUUUGAUGAUAAGAAAUAUAGGACUUAUGUGGGGACCAAUAAAGUUAUAUUGUACUGAA